AUUGAACGCUGGCGGCAUGCCUUACACAUGCAAGUCGAACGGUAACGCGGGGCAACCUGGCGACGAGUGGCGAACGGGUGAGUAAUGUAUCGGAACGUGCCCAGUUGUGGGGGAUAACUGCUCAAAAGAGCAGCUAAUACCGCAUACGACCUGAGGGUGAAAGCGGGGGAUCGCAAGACCUCGCGCAAUUGGAGCGGCCGAUAUCAGAUUAGGUAGUUGGUGGGGUAAAGGCUCACCAAGCCAACGAUCUGUAGCUGGUCUGAGAGGACGACCAGCCACACUGGGACUGAGACACGGCCCAGACUCCUACGGGAGGCAGCAGUGGGGAAUUUUGGACAAUGGACGCAAGUCUGAUCCAGCCAUGCCGCGUGCAGGAAGAAGGCCUUCGGGUUGUAAGCCGCUUUUGUCAGGGAAGAAACGCUCUGGGUUAAUACCUCGGGGUAAUGACGGUACCUGAAGAAUAAGCACCGGCUAACUACGUGCCAGCCGCCGCAGUAAGAC
rnacentral:rRNA from 1 species